AACCUUCGGGGAACGAUAACGGCGUCGAGCGGCGGACGGGUGAGUAAUGCCUGGGAAAUUGCCCUGAUGUGGGGGAUAACCAUUGGAAACGAUGGCUAAUACCGCAUAAUAGCUUCGGCUCAAAGAGGGGGACCUUCGGGCCUCUCGCGUCAGGAUAUGCCCAGGUGGGAUUAGCUAGUUGGUGAGGUAAGGGCUCACCAAGGCGACGAUCCCUAGCUGGUCUGAGAGGAUGAUCAGCCACACUGGAACUGAGACACGGUCCAGACUCCUACGGGAGGCAGCAGUGGGGAAUAUUGCACAAUGGGCGCAAGCCUGAUGCAGCCAUGCCGCGUGUAUGAAGAAGGCCUUCGGGUUGUAAAGUACUUUCAGCAGUGAGGAAGGCGGGUACGUUAAUAGCGUGCUUGUUUGACGUUAGCUGCAGAAGAAGCACCGGCUAACUCCGUGCCAGCAGCCGCGGUAAUACGGAGGGUGCGAGCGUUAAUCGGAAUUACUGGGCGUAAAGCGCAUGCAGGUGGUUUGUUAAGUCAGAUGUGAAAGCCCGGGGCUCAACCUCGGAAUUGCAUUUGAAACUGGCAGACUAGAGUACUGUAGAGGGGGGUAGAAUUUCAGGUGUAGCGGUGAAAUGCGUAGAGAUCUGAAGGAAUACCGGUGGCGAAGGCGGCCCCCUGGACAGAUACUGACACUCAGAUGCGAAAGCGUGGGGAGCAAACAGGAUUAGAUACCCUGGUAGUCCACGCCGUAAACGAUGUCUACUUGGAGGUUGUGGCCUUGAGCCGUGGCUUUCGGAGCUAACGCGUUAAGUAGACCGCCUGGGGAGUACGGUCGCAAGAUUAAAACUCAAAUGAAUUGACGGGGGCCCGCACAAGCGGUGGAGCAUGUGGUUUAAUUCGAUGCAACGCGAAGAACCUUACCUACUCUUGACAUCCAGAGAACUUUCCAGAGAUGGAUUGGUGCCUUCGGGAACUCUGAGACAGGUGCUGCAUGGCUGUCGUCAGCUCGUGUUGUGAAAUGUUGGGUUAAGUCCCGCAACGAGCGCAACCCUUAUCCUUGUUUGCCAGCACUUCGGGUGGGAACUCCAGGGAGACUGCCGGUGAUAAACCGGAGGAAGGUGGGGACGACGUCAAGUCAUCAUGGCCCUUACGAGUAGGGCUACACACGUGCUACAAUGGCGCAUACAGAGGGCAGCCAACUUGCGAAAGUGAGCGAAUCCCAAAAAGUGCGUCGUAGUCCGGAUUGGAGUCUGCAACUCGACUCCAUGAAGUCGGAAUCGCUAGUAAUCGUGGAUCAGAAUGCCACGGUGAAUACGUUCCCGGGCCUUGUACACACCGCCCGUCACACCAUGGGAGUGGGCUGCAAAAGAAGUGGGUAG
rnacentral:rRNA from 1 species